rnacentral:rRNA from 1 species
CCUACGGGCGGCAGCAGUCGAGAAUCAUUCACAAUGGGGGAAACCCUGAUGGUGCGACGCCGCGUGGGGGAAUGAAGGUCUUCGGAUUGUAAACCCCUGUCAUGUGGGAGCAAAUUAAAAAGAUAGUACCACAAGAGGAAGAGACGGCUAACUCUGUGCCAGCAGCCGCGGUAAUACAGAGGUCUCAAGCGUUGUUCGGAAUCACUGGGCGUAACGCGUGCGUAGGCUGUUUCGUAAGUCGUGUGUGAAAGGCGCGGGCUCAACCCGCGGACGGCACAUGAUACUGGGAGACUAGAGUAAUGGAGGGGGAACCGGAAUGCUCGGUGUAGCAGUGAAAUGCGUAGAUAUCGAGAGGAACACUCGUGGCGAAGGCGGGUUCCUGGACAUUAACUGACGCGGAGGCACGAAGGCCAGGGGAGCGAAAGGGAUUAGAUACCCCUGUAGUC